rnacentral:rRNA from 1 species
CCUACGGGAGGCAGCAGUAGGGAAUCUUCCGCAAUGGACGAAAGUCUGACGGAGCAACGCCGCGUGAACGAUGAAGGCCUUCGGGUCGUAAAGUUCUGUUGUUAGGGAAGAACAAGUGCUAGUUGAAUAAGCUGGCACCUUGACGGUACCUAACCAGAAAGCCACGGCCAACUACGUGCCAGCAGCCGCGGUAAUACGUAGGUGGCAAGCGUUGUCCGGAAUUAUUGGGCGUAAAGCGCGCGCAGGCGGUUUCUUAAGUCUGAUGUGAAAGCCCCCGGCUCAACCGGGGAGGGUCAUUGGAAACUGGGAAACUUGAGUGCAGAAGAGGAAAGUGGAAUUCCAAGUGUAGCGGUGAAAUGCGUAGAGAUUUGGAGGAACACCAGUGGCGAAGGCGACUUUCUGGUCUGUAACUGACGCUGAGGCGCGAAAGCGUGGGGAGCAAACAGGAUUAGAUACCCUGGUAGUCCACGCUGUAAACGAUGAGUGCUAAGUGUUAGAGGGUUUCCGCCCUUUAGUGCUGAAGUUAACGCAUUAAGCACUCCGCCUGGGGAGUACGGUCGCAAGACAGAACUACAAGAAGUAGACGCGNGAGACGNGCGAGACGACGACGAGGGAGAGG